ensembl:lncRNA
GUACUGAUCCGUAAUCCAUGGGCUCUGCAUGAAUGGCGCCCCCUGGUGUAGCUUCCAUGGCCAGCAUCCUCGCCCUCUUCAAAAGAAAGCACAAUUGUUGAACCUGGCGCUCUGAGCAUCUGUCUCCAUCUUUGAAUGUUGUAAGAGAGAAUCAUGAAGAGGAUGAAAAUAUGAGGGAUUUUCCUCCAUUUUCUACGGGAAGCAGCAAGAAAAAAAUUUGAAUUCUUUAGUUCUCUGCUAACUCAGGCUGCUUGGCUGCUAGAACAGACCAUGAAUUAUUUCUGCUCCAGACUCUGCCUGAUGCGUGCCCUCCGCACAGCGGGCCAGGCUGUCUCCCGCUGCGAAACCUGAAGCAAGAAGAAGCGUAGGUGGAGCCACCAGAGAGCAGGUCACCCCUCCUUCUGGGUGACAGGAAGAGGUGACUCUGUGCACACUUCUCCCAUGACCACUUGUGACAAGCCCUCAGCAUCCUCACAAACAAGUGUUCACUGAACAUCUACUGUGGACCUAGCUGAAUGCGCGUCUGUGACAUACCUUUUCCAUCUGUGAUGCGUUGUGGCCUCCAGCCCCAAAGAGCACCGCGGCCAGGAUGGCGAAGAGGCUCAAGGGAGGAAAGAAGAAGGUCUCAGUGGGAAAGAACUCAAUGUGGUCCAUUUCCUUAAGAAACACCUGCAAAGAAAAAUACAGUUGCUGAGCUUGAGUGAAGAUAUCAGUAGAAAAGUUAUCAUUUCUCCACCGAAGUAUUUAACUUACACAACGUUUUGCCAAUAUCCGGAAACCCAGAAGCAAUUUUCCCCACCCAGGGGUGUGAUUGCAAUAAAAC